UGCCAGCCGCCGCGGUAACACGUAGGGACCGAGCGUUGUCCGGAUUUAUUGGGCGUAAAGAGCUCGUAGGCGGUUUCGUAAGUCGGAUGUGAAAACUCAGGGCUCAACCCUGAGACGCCAUCUGAUACUGCGAUGACUAGAGUCCGGUAGGGGAGCAUGGAAUUCCUGGUGUAGCGGUGGAAUGCGCAGAUAUCAGGAGGAACACCAAUGGCGAAGGCAUCUAGCCAGAACGGAUCCGACGGUCAGGAACGAAAGCUAGGGGAGCGAACCGGAUUAGAUA
rnacentral:rRNA from 1 species